AUGAACGCUGGCGGCGUGCCUAAUACAUGCAAGUCGAGCGAACGGACGAGAAGCUUGCUUUUCUGAUGUUAGCGGCGGACGGGUGAGUAACACGUGGAUAACCUACCUAUAAGACCGGGAUAACUUCGGGAAACCGGAGCUAAUACCGGAUAAUAUUUUGAACCGCAUGGUUCAAAAGUGAAAGACGGUCUUGCUGUCACUUAUAGAUGGAUCCGCGCUGCAUUAGCUAGUUGGUAAGGUAACGGCUUACCAAGGCAACGAUGCAUAGCCGACCUGAGAGGGUGAUCGGCCACACUGGAACUGAGACACGGUCCAGACUCAUACGGGAGGCAGCAGUAGGGAAGCUUCCGCAAUGGGCGAAAGCCUGACGGAGCAACGCCGCGUGAGUGAUGAAGGUCUUCGGAUCGUAAAACUCUGUUAUUAGGGAAGAACAUAUGUGUAAGUAACUGUGCACAUCUUGACGGUACCUAAUCAGAAAGCCACGGCUAACUACGU
rnacentral:rRNA from 1 species